rnacentral:piRNA from 1 species
UUGAACUAACAGAACUCAGAAAC